rnacentral:rRNA from 1 species
CGCGUAGGCGGCCGAUUAAGUCGGGGGUGAAAGCCUGUGGCUCAACCACAGAAUUGCCUUCGAUACUGGUUGGCUUGAGACCGGAAGAGGACAGCGGAACUGCGAGUGUAGAGGUGAAAUUCGUAGAUAUUCGCAAGAACACCAGUGGCGAAGGCGGCUGUCUGGUCCGGUUCUGACGCUGAGGCGCGAAAGCAUGGGUAGCAAACA